rnacentral:rRNA from 1 species
GGCCUUUUGAGUUUAAGGUAUAAAAGGUCUGACCUGCCCGGUGACUGGCUGAUACUAGGCUGGUUUAACGGCUAUUAAUUUACUAAUGUAGCGCGGUAAUUUACCCUUUAAUUGGGGGCUAGAAAAUGGUUUGACGCAGAAAAACUGUCUUUGAUGUAAUAAAUGAAAUUUCUUUUCAAGUGAAAAAGCUUGAGUUUUUGUAUUAGACGAGAAGACCCUAUUGAACUUGAUUACUGAGUAUAACUAUAUAAUUAUAAAGAAUUAUAAAUUAGGUGUUUAGUUAUAUUUAGAAACUUUUGUUGGGGAAACAGAGGAUUAAAACUAACAUCCUCUUUAUUUAUACAGACCCUUUACAGAGAGUCUAAAGCAAAAGUUACCAUAGGGAUAACAGCGUAAUUCCUUUUCAAGAGCUCUUAUUGAGGAGAGGGUUUGCGACCUCGAUGUUGAAUUAAAGUGACUCUCUGGUUGUAGAAGCUAGAAAAAGUAAGACUGUUCGUCUUUUGAAACUUU